UCAGCUUUAUAAAUCCGGAGAUACGGAAACUA
rnacentral:scRNA from 1 species